AGACAGGAUUGUAAGGAUUGCUGGUCAGUGCUGUUAUCCCCUGCUGUGAGGUCGCUGUGGGAGUGCAUGCAUGCACGACCGCAUCAAGGCACACCAUUAUACCACUAAACUGCAUGCCAGCCCUAAGGAAAAGGAGCAUAUGUAGAGGUGCAGUAUCCUAACUAUUCUGGACAGAGACUUCUGAUGCUGCACAUGAAAUCGGCAAGACCACUGUUCCAGUUUUGGCUUUACAAGGAUGAAGUGUGACAGAAGAAGAUGCAAGGCUGUUCCCGUCGGCACUGUGGAUAAAACAGUUGACUCUGCGCUUGUGAGCACAGUCAGCGUGCUGGCUGAAAUCAAGACCGCUUCCCUUGCAUGACUGUGAGUGGAAG
ensembl:lncRNA